rnacentral:misc_RNA from 1 species
AAGGAUCAUUCAUAAUAAGUGUUUUAUGGCACUUUUUAAAUCCAUAUCCACCUUGUGUGCAAUGUCAGUCGAUCUUCUUCAUGGAGAUCGACCAAACAUCAACCUUUAUUUUUUAACUCUUUGUCUGAAAAAUAUUAUGAAUAAACAAUUCAAAAUACAACUUUCAACAACGGAUCUCUUGGCUCUCGCAUCGAUGAAGAACGCAGCGUAGCCAUGCAUCGAUGUGGAAGUAAAAGUCGUAACAAG